rnacentral:rRNA from 1 species
UAUACGACCGUACCGCAAACCGACACUGGUGCGCGAGAUGAGUAUUCUAAGGCGCUUGAGAGAACUCAGGAGAAGGAACUCGGCAAAUUGACACCGUAACUUCGGAAGAAGGUGUGCCCUAUUAGUGUGUAGUGAACAACGAAGCAUGAAUGGGUUGCAAAAAAUCGGUGGCUGCGACUGUUUAUUAAAAACACAGCACUCUGCAAACACGAAAGUGGACGUAUAGGGUGUGACGCCUGCCCGGUGCUGGAAGAUUAAAUGAUGGGGUGCAAGCUCUUGAUUGAAGUCCCAGUAAACGGCGGCCGUAACUAUAACGGUCCUAAGGUAGCGAAAUUCCUUGUCGGGUAAGUUCCGACCUGCACGAAUGGCGUAACGAUGGCCACACUGUCUCCUCCUGAGACUCAGCGAAGUUGAAAUGUUUGUGAUGAUGCAAUCUCCCCGCGGAAAGACGGAAAGACCCCAUGAACCUUUACUGUAGCUUUGUAUUGGACUUUGAACAGAUCUGUGUAGGAUAGGUGGGAGGCUUUGAAGCAGGGUCGCUAGAUCUUGUGGAGCCAACGUUGAAAUACCACCCUGGUGUGUUUGAGGUUCUAACCUAGGUCCAUUAUCUGGAUCGGGGACAGUGCAUGGUAGGCAGUUUGACUGGGGCGGUCUCCUCCCAAAGCGUAACGGAGGAGUUCGAAGGUACGCUAGUUACGGUCGGACAUCGUGACGAUAGUGCAAUGGCAUAAGCGUGCUUAACUGCGAGACUGACAAGUCGAGCAGAUGCGAAAGCAGGACAUAGUGAUCCGGUGGUUCUGUAUGGAAGGGCCAUCGCUCAACGGAUAAAAGGUACUCUGGGGAUAACAGGCUGAUACCGCCCAAGAGUUCAUAUCGACGGCGGUGUUUGGCACCUCGAUGUAGGCUCAUCUCAUCCUGGGGCUGUAGCCGGUCCCAAGGGUAUGGCUGUUCGCCAUUUAAAGAGGUACGUGAGCUGGGUUUAAAACGUCGUGAGACAGUUUGGUCCCUAUCUUCCGUGGGCGCUGCAGAUUUGAGGAAGCCUGCUCCUAGUACGAGAGGACCGGAGUGGACACACCUCUGGUGUAUCGGUUGUCACGCCAGUGGCAUUGCCGAGUAGCUAAGUGUGGAAGAGAUAACCGCUGAAAGCAUCUAAGCGGGAAACUCGUUUCAAGAUGAGAUCUGCCGGGGCCUUGAGCCCCCUAAAGUG